UGCUGCAGCAUGGACCGAAACGCCAAUGUCACCAAUGUACUUUCUCUUUCCAUGGCCUGCACACAGGUGCCCCGUGGGAAGUAAGGACUUCGACAAGUGCGCGGUGAAUGACGCCCAACACUGCCCGAAUGCCGUUGGCUACUGUUGUUAUGGUGUGUGCCUGUGUGCUCUUUCGGAGAUCAUCUUUUGUCCUAGGCUCCAGAAACCACACUAUCUUAUAGGUGGUCGCUGAAACGCUGCAGAGGCAUGCCAGUAUUGGCAUAAUGCAUCAUGUACGCUGG